rnacentral:misc_RNA from 1 species
UACGGAGGGUGCAAGCGUUGUCCGGAAUCACUGGGCUUAAAGGGUGCGCAGGCUGGCCUGUAAGUGUCUUGUGAAAUCCCAUGGCUCAACCAUGGAAUUGCUUGGCAAACUACAGGUCUUGAGCCCGAAAGAGGUCGUCGGAACGCUAGGUGGAGCGGUGAAAUGCGUAGAUAUCUAGCGGAACGCCAAAGGUGAAGGCAGACGACUGGGUCGUCGCUGACGCUCAGGCACGAAAGCAUGGGUAGCGAACAGG